rnacentral:siRNA from 1 species
UAGUGAGGUGAUGUUGAACCG